rnacentral:ncRNA from 1 species
CCAAGGAAAGAUUAAAAGAAGUAAAAGGAACUCGGCAAACACAAACCCCGCCUGUUUACCAAAAACAUCACCUCUAGCAUUACUAGUAUUAGAGGCAAUGCCUGCCCAGUGACACCAGUUUAACGGCCGCGGUAUUCUGACCGUGCAAAGGUAGCAUAAUCACUUGUUCUCCAAAUAAGGACUUGUAUGAAUGGCCACACGAGGGUUUUACUGUCUCUUACUUCCAAUCAGUGAAAUUAACCUUCCCGUGAAGAGGCGGGAAUAAAAAAAUAAGACGAGAAGACCCUAUGGAGCUUUAAUUAACUAUUCCAAAAGUUAAACAACUCAACCACAAAGGGAUAAAACAUAACUUAACAUGGACUAGCAAUUUCGGUUGGGGUGACCUCGGAGUACAAAAAACCCUCCGAGUGAUUUUAAUCUAGACAAACCAGUCAAAAUAACCAUAACAUCACUUAUUGAUCCAAAAUUUUGAUCAACGGAACAAGUUACCCUAGGGAUAACAGCGCAAUCCUGUUCUAGAGUUCCUAUCGACAAUAGGGUUUACGACCUCGAUGUUGGAUCAGGACACCCAAAUGGUGCAACCGCUAUUAAAGGUUCGUUUGUUCAACGAUUAAAGUCCUACGUGAUCUGAGUUCAGACCGGAGCAAUCCAGGUCGGUUUCUAUCUAUUAUAAAUUUCUCCCAGUACGAAAGGACAAGAGAAAUGGGACCAACCUCACAAACGCGUCUCAGAGAUAAUUAAUGAUUUAAUCUUAACCUAAUUAACUCAUAAUAAAUCCAGCCCUAGAACAGGGCACA